AUGAACGCUAGCGGCAGGCUUAAUACAUGCAAGUUGAACGGCAGCGGGUUGUAGCAAUACAAUGCCGGCGAGUGGCGCACGGGUGCGUAACACGUAUGCAACCUACCCUAUACUGGGGCAUAACCUUUAGAAAUGAGGGCUAAUACUCCAUGUAAUUAUGAGAAGGCAUCUUUUUAUAAUUAAAGAUUUAUCGGUAUAGGAUGGGCAUGCGUCCCAUUAGUUAGUUGGUAAGGUAACGGCUUACCAAGACUGUGAUGGGUAGGGG
rnacentral:rRNA from 1 species